AGAGUUUGAUCCUGGCUCAGGACGAACGCUGGCGGCGUGCCUAAUACAUGCAAGUCGAACGCUUCUUUCCUCCCGAGUGCUUGCACUCAAUUGGAAAGAGGAGUGGCGGACGGGUGAGUAACACGUGGGUAACCUACCCAUCAGAGGGGGAUAACACUUGGAAACAGGUGCUAAUACCGCAUAACAGUUUAUGCCGCAUGGCAUAAGAGUGAAAGGCGCUUUCGGGUGUCGCUGAUGGAUGGACCCGCGGUGCAUUAGCUAGUUGGUGAGGUAACGGCUCACCAAGGCGACGAUGCAUAGCCGACCUGAGAGGGUGAUCGGCCACACUGGGACUGAGACACGGCCCAGACUCCUACGGGAGGCAGCAGUAGGGAAUCUUCGGCAAUGGACGAAAGUCUGACCGAGCAACGCCGCGUGAGUGAAGAAGGUUUUCGGAUCGUAAAACUCUGUUGUUAGAGAGAACAAGGACGUUAGUAACUGAACGUCCCCUGACGGUAUCUAACCAGAAAGCCACGGCUAACUACGUGCCAGCAGCCGCGGUAAUACGUAGGUGGCAAGCGUUGUCCGGAUUUAUUGGGCGUAAAGCGAGCGCAGGCGGUUUCUUAAGUCUGAUGUGAAAGCCCCCGGCUCAACCGGGGGGGGUCAUUGGAAACUGGGAGACUUGAGUGCAGAAGAGGAGAGUGGAAUUCCAUGUGUAGCGGUGAAAUGCGUAGAUAUAUGGAGGAACACCAGUGGCGAAGGCGGCUCUCUGGUCUGUAACUGACGCUGAGGCUCGAAAGCGUGGGGAGCAAACAGGAUUAGAUACCCUGGUAGUCCACGCCGUAAACGAUGAGUGCUAAGUGUUGGAGGGUUUCCGCCCUUCAGUGCUGCAGCAAACGCAUUAAGCACUCCGCCUGGGGAGUACGACCGCAAGGUUGAAACUCAAAGGAAUUGACGGGGGCCCGCACAAGCGGUGGAGCAUGUGGUUUAAUUCGAAGCAACGCGAGAACCUUACCAGGUCUUGACAUCCUUUGACCACUCUAGAGAUAGAGCUUUCCCUUCGGGGACAAAGUGACAGGUGGUGCAUGGUUGUCGUCAGCUCGUGUCGUGAGAUGUUGGGUUAAGUCCCGCAACGAGCGCAACCCUUAUUGUUAGUUGCCAUCAUUUAGUUGGGCACUCUAGCGAGACUGCCGGUGACAAACCGGAGGAAGGUGGGGAUGACGUCAAAUCAUCAUGCCCCUUAUGACCUGGGCUACACACGUGCUACAAUGGGAAGUACAACGAGUCGCUAGACCGCGAGGUCAUGCAAAUCUCUUAAAGCUUCUCUCAGUUCGGAUUGCAGGCUGCAACUCGCCUGCAUGAAGCCGGAAUCGCUAGUAAUCGCGGAUCAGCACGCCGCGGUGAAUACGUUCCCGGGCCUUGUACACACCGCCCGUCACACCACGAGAGUUUGUAACACCCGAAGUCGGUGAGGUAACCUUUUUGGAGCCAGCCGCCUAAGGUGGGAUAGAUGAUUGGGGUGAAGUCGUAACAAGGUAGCCGUAUCGAAGGGUGCGGCUGGAUCACCUCCUUUCU
rnacentral:rRNA from 1 species